AAUGGGAUAACUGGGUCAAAUGGUGUUUCCAUUCCAAGUUUUCUGAGGAAUCUCAAUAAUGCCUUCCAGAGUGGUUGCACCAAUUUGCAUUCCCACCAGUAAU
rnacentral:pre_miRNA from 1 species